UACGUAGGGUCCGAGCGUUGUCCGGAAUUAUUGGGCGUAAAGAGCUCGUAGGCGGCUGUCCACGUCGGAUGUGAAAGCUCGGGGCUCAACCCUGAGAGGCCAUUCGAUACGGGACGGCUAGAGGUAGGUAGGGGAGAUUGGAAUUCCUGGUGUAGCGGUGAAAUGCGCAGAUAUCAGGAGGAACACCGGUGGCGAAGGCGGAUCUCUGGGCCUUACCUGACGCUGAGGAGCGAAAGCUGGGGGAGCGAACAGG
rnacentral:rRNA from 1 species